UACGGAGGGUGCAAGCGUUAAUCGGAAUUACUGGGCGUAAAGCGUGCGUAGGCGGUUCGUUAAGUCUGUUGUGAAAGCCCCGGGCUCAACCUGGGAAUGGCAAUGGAUACUGGCGAGCUAGAGUGUGUCAGAGGAUGGUGGAAUUCCCGGUGUAGCGGUGAAAUGCGUAGAGAUCGGGAGGAACAUCAGUGGCGAAGGCGGCCAUCUGGGACAACGACUGACGCUGAGGCACGAAAGCGUGGGGAGCAAACAGG
rnacentral:rRNA from 1 species